CCCCUUAGAUGUUCUGGGCCGCACGCGCGCUACACUGAUGCAUUCAACGAGUUUCUUCCUGGUCCGAGAGGAAUGGGUAACCUUUUGAAAGUGCAUCGUGAUAGGGAUAGACUAUUGCAAUUAUUGGUCUUCAACGAGGAAUUCCUAGUAGACGUAGUUCAUCAGACUGCAUCGAUUACGUCCCUGCCCUUUGUACACACCGCCCGUCGCUCCUACCGAUUGAAUGCUCAGGUGAGCCAUUCGGACUUUCAUCAUGCUGGUUUCCAGUUUUGAUGAAGGAAAGUCUUGCGAACCUUAUCAUUUAGAGGAAGGAGAAGUCGUAACA
rnacentral:rRNA from 1 species